UACGAAGGGGGCUAGCGUUGCUCGGAAUCACUGGGCGUAAAGGGUGCGUAGGCGGGUCUUUAAGUCAGAGGUGAAAUCCUGGAGCUCAACUCCAGAACUGCCUUUGAUACUGAAGAUCUUGAGUUCGGGAGAGGUGAGUGGAACUGCGAGUGUAGAGGUGAAAUGCGCAGAUAUCGGGAAGAACACCCGUGGCGAAGGCGGCUCUCUGGGACGGUACUGACGCUGAGACGCGAAAGCGUGGGGAGCGAACAGG
rnacentral:rRNA from 1 species